AGAGCGGUGUCGCUCUAUAGCAACAAGGCGGUUUGCGCGGGCCGGGCUUGCGUUGCUAUAGCAACAAGGGCGAAGAGGUCGGGGCCUGGUGCGAGGCAUGGCGGGGGUACUGCUCUGCGAGCCCACCGAGCUCUACAACAUCCUCAACCAGCACCGCCGCUUCUCCAGGCUGUCCGAGCCCCACUACCUCAGCCUGCUGGGUGAGCCCAUGGAGCACAGCGGGGCGGCUGGCAGGAGCAGGGCUGCUUUCCUCAGGAAUGGGGCCUAUGCCCGCACUCUUCGUGAGUACAAUGAAAGCCACAUUAUUACAGCAUGCAGGAUUGAACAGAGCCCUACAGGGGAGUAUCUGGUGCCAGAUUCAGAGGAACUGGCAUAUGUCAGAUACUGCGUGGUGUAUGACUCUGAGACCAGCUCUUUGGACUUCUUUGACUAUGAGGAAGAGGAAAAAGAGAAAGGAAGCAAUGGUUCUUCAGAAACUGAACACUCUGAGUCAAGUUCCUCAUAUUCACAGAAUGCUGAGGAAGGAACUGCUGCCCGACACGCCAGAAGCUUACAGCAGUUCACCCGCCAUCCGGUGCUUGUCCUGAGGGGAGGAUACAAACGUUUCUCAGCUUGCUAUCACUUUCUGAGGACUCAGAAGAUAUUGUGGAUGCCUCAGGAACUCGACAACUUCAAGCCAUACCCUGUAGAAAUACUGCCUGGAAAGUUAUACAUGGGCAAUUUCAGGCAGGCCUGCGACCAACAAAUUCAGAAAGAUUUGAAGAUCAAAGCACAAGUCAACAUUUCUGAACAGCCUGCAACGCUGUUGACAGAAGAAGGCAAAUACCUCCAUAUAUCUGUUCCAGAUUCGCUUGAAGCAGAUCUUUUUUCUUCCUUUUCUACCAUUUGUCAUUUCAUUGACACCCAGCUGGAUCUCGGAGCAGUGCUGGUGUUCUCUAGCCUGGGAAUAAGCCGGAGCAGCACAGUAAUCAUGGCCUAUCUUAUGCAUUCCUUCCAGUUUUCCCUGAAGAAAGCUUGGGACUACGUUCUGAAAUGCAAAACGAACGUGAGACCACACCGGGGCUUUGUGAAACAGCUUUCAGACUGGGAGACUCAAAUCUAUGGGACCACCAUCACUGAUGUCUCUGAACCCAAUUACUGAGCACAGAGAACGCCAGCAGGGAAGGAUGCUUCUUUGUCUGCCCCACUGCCUCAUCUGCAGGUUGGCAGCACCGAAAACCCCCGGGCCGCCCACCGCCCCUCCAUCCCGUCCUUAAGCAGCGUAGGGCCGGCAUAGCAUAGCAGAUCAGAGCAUAGCAUGGCAUGGUACGGUAUGGCAUAGCAUGGCAUGGUACGGCAUGGUAUGGCGUAGCAUAACACGGCCCCCUCCCCGCCCCCCGGUCCGCCUCGUGGGGGGCGUGCCCGGAAGCGGCGGCGCAGUGCCGGGGCCGUUCGCCGCCUCCUCCGUCCGUCC